rnacentral:rRNA from 1 species
GAUGAACGCUGGCGGCGUGCCUAAUACAUGCAAGUCGAGCGAACGGACGAGAAGCUUGCUUCUCUGAUGUUAGCGGCGGACGGGUGAGUAACACGUGGAUAACCUACCUAUAAGACUGGGAUAACUUCGGGAAACCGGAGCUAAUACCGGAUAAUAUUUUGAACCGCAUGGUUCAAAAGUGAAAGACGGUCUUGCUGUCACUUAUAGAUGGAUCCGCGCUGCAUUAGCUAGUUGGUAAGGUAACGGCUUACCAAGGCAACGAUGCAUAGCCGACCUGAGAGGGUGAUCGGCCACACUGGAACUGAGACACGGUCCAGACUCCUACGGGAGGCAGCAGUAGGGAAUCUUCCGCAAUGGGCGAAAGCCUGACGGAGCAACGCCGCGUGAGUGAUGAAGGUCUUCGGAUCGUAAAACUCUGUUAUUAGGGAAGAACAUAUGUGUAAGUAACUGUGCACAUCUUGACGGUACCUAAUCAGGAGCCACGGCUAACUACGUG